UUGAUGAAUAUAAGGCUUUCUCCAGUUUUUGAAAGCGGAAUCCCAUAAUUCCAGAAGAUCACAGGUCACAUGUCACUUCGCUGACGCAGUCCAUACCAGAAUUCCGACUUAAGUCUUCUUCGACUCUCUAAAUCUUCUUUUUACUUUGCUGAUUCAGGUAAGUGAAAUGUGAAUAUAGACAUAUAUGCUCAUGUUAUGGUCAUGUUGAAGCUGGUUACAGCAGGAAGUUUUAUUUAACUCCCUAUAUAGUCUUUGCAAAUAGUGUAAUAAAAACAGAACAUUUUAAUAAUAAAAAAAGAAAUCCAGAGCAAAUUGCUAUAAUGUUAGCAUCUGCCUCCUGUUCCUAAAUGCUCUAUACAGAAUGCACCUCCAAAUAGUAUUAACUUUUGGGUUUAUUUAAAUAAAAGGGUUUAUUAUUCUCGGGCAUGUUCAACACGCACAUGUCACCCAUGGCGUUUGUUUGAAACGCUUUAAUCAGCUCAGAAGUAAACCUUAUCGACUGCAAUAUUGGACGCUCGUGGCUAACUUCGCUUGGUAUCAGCGUCCGACUGUCAGGUAGCAUUGAUUGCUCUCUGUAUACAAUGAAUAGAUAAAAUAUGCCUUGCUAUCCCUGCUGAAAAAACAAAACAAUAGAAACCAUUACAGAAAUGCUAAUGGUUUCCACUACAAAACCAUUACAAACCAGCCGUUAACCAUUAAAACCAUUACAAAGUGGUGUCCAUUACGUAGUGUGUUUUGGGCCGCAUUCCAUUAGGACUUAUUGGUACUGUAAAAAAUAUUUUAGCAAAUUAGUUAUUUUAACUUAUUUUUUGUGUAGAGAUAACUAGAUUGUCCAGACAACAAGAAAUUUUAAGUUUUUCUUGUCCUCAACUUAUCGAAAUAAGUUAGUUAAAUUAAAAAAAAAACAUGCAAAAAGAUAACUCAAUAAUGAGUUAAGUUUUUUACAGUGUAGGUUUCCAUUACAAAUUUGUAUUGGUCAUGAUUUGUAUUUUUAAUGGUUUCCAAUACAGUUUGUAUUGGUUCUGCACAUAUUUAAUGGUUUCCAUUACAGCUUCUAUUGGUUCUAAAACGCCAAAGGAUGAGAAUGCGUUGCAGCCAACACAUAUGUAUUGGUCAUGAUUUGUGCAUAUUUAAUGGUUUCCAUUGCAAAUUAGUUGGUUUAUUUAUGUCAUUUUUAAAUCUAUUUUGCUGUUGCAAUAAUUGUAAAAAAAAAAAAAAAAAAAAAGGAAAUCUGCAUUUAGCCUAUUCAUUAUGUGUAUGUGUAUAUUAAAUCCCGUUUGUUUCAACACCUCCAUACCUAAACACCAAUUUGUCUUGAAGGAAUAAUACAAAUGUAGGAACUAGCCUACACUAGGCAUUAACUGUACUUGUCUAACUUUAAUGUUAAAAGUUGGCUAGGCCUAUAACUUACUCUGGUUUUAAUGAGUCAAACUGGCCACGCGAGUGACUCUUUUAGGCUUCCAAUCUGUUUGAGGUCUUUUUAGGUAAAAUAUCAAACUUCAGUAGUUCGCACUAUCACUUGACUUAUUAACUAAGAUUCAGCCAGGCCUACCAGUGUGACUAGUAUCAGUUUUGGCCAUUCAAGUCUACUCUACUUUCCACAAAUAUAGGCUAAAGUAGCCUAGACUAUCCCACUGUCCUGUGACACAUCUUGUCUUUGAACUGAAUUUGAUGGCCUCAGAUGAUGGUUUGAAUUGGUUUUUGUCUCUAGUCCACCCAAGCAUUGUGACCGUUCAGUAUUUUGGCUACUCUUCGUGAAAAUACGAGUUAGGUUAUCUUAAAAAUAACAUGUAGGCAUGUCUUUAAACACAAUAAGUGCAUGUUGAGAACACAUCUGUGAUAGAAAUAAGGUGUGAUUGCUAAUUAAAACAUAACUACAGUAAUAUGUCAUUUCCAUUUGCAGACAUGACAAAGCCACAAGCUGUGAAUUGCCCCACCUGCCAGGUUUCAAAUCGCCUGCCGCUGAAUACCUGCACAGCCUGUCUGUUCCCCUUGAAGCACAAACGAAAGGUUACCGCCAAGUGGGCAGAAUCUGUUAAGAAAAACAGAAAUGUGUGCAGAAUACUUAAGGCUGCUCAGCUGUCUGUGUCCAAACUCAGUGUUUUGGACUAUUGCCCAAUUCUUUUCUUGGGACAUAAGGACAAGAAAGGGGGAAUGUCAGCAGACAUUAUGCAUUGCCUUGAGAACCCAGGGAAUCCUGAGAUUUCUUUAAUUAUAAAAAAAAUGAAAAAUCUUUAUGGGCACCUUCUACGAAAAUUGUUUGCUCAAAAGGAUGUCCCUGGGGAGGUGGAUCCAAACCGAUCUCAAGAGGAGGUGGUGGAGGAAAACCAACCAGAAGUGG